UUUAAUGGCCGCAGUAUUUUGACUGUGCAAAGGUAGCAUAAUCAUUAGUUUUUUAAUUAAAAACUGGAAUGAAGGGUUGGACGAGAAAAUUACUGUCUCUUUAUAAAUUUUUUAGAAUUUUAUUUUUAAGUUAAAAAGCUUAAAUUACUUUAAAAGACGAGAAGACCCUAUAGAGUUUUAUAAUUAUGUAUAAAAUAAUAUAUAUUGAAUUUUAUAUUUAUAUUUUACUUAAUUAUUUGAUUGGGGUGAUUAAAAAAUUUAAUAAACUUUUUUUAUAAUAAAUCAUUAAUAUAUGAUUUUUUGAUCCAUAAUUUAUGAUUAUAAGAUUAAAUUACCUUAGGGAUAACAGCGUAAUUUCUUUGAAGAGUUCUAAUCGAUAAAGAAGUUUGCGACCUCGAUGUUGGAUUAAAAUUUAUCUUUGGUGUAGUAGUUAAAGAAUUAGGUCUGUUCGACCUUUAAAAUUUUACAUGAUCUGAGUUUAAACCGGUGUGAGCCAGGUUGGUUUCUAUCUUUAAAAAUAAUAAUAAUAUUUUAGUACGAAAGGACCAAGUAUUAAUAAAAUUUAUUUAAUAGGAUUAUCAAUAAUAU
rnacentral:rRNA from 1 species